UAACCUGUUCCUCCUGGUCAGGGUGGGUGGGGCUACGGGGUCUCUAACCUGUUCCUCCUGGUCAGGGUGGGUGGGGCUACGGGGUCUGGAGCCUCGUGUCUCGUUCACUUUCUCCUUCCAUCCAUCAGCCUUCUGCUGUAGGGAAGCCCCUGUCUGGGGGAGAGAUGGGGACAUUUCAGAACACUACCUGUGUGUGUGUGUGUGUGUGUGUGUGUGUGUGUGUGUGUGUGUGUGUGUCUGUGUGUACCUUGUUGAUGAGGAAGAGCAGUGACUGUGUCAGUCCGCAGUGUUUCUCUGCCAGGAAGCGAUACCUACAAAUAACAACCGUCAUCAUAAUAAUAACGGUUCUAAUAGUAAUUGUGUUGGUAAUGUAUUAUUAAUAACGGUUCUAAUAGUAAUUGUGUUGGUAAUGUAUUAAUAACGGUUCUAAUAGUAAUUGUGUUGGUAAUGUAUUAAUAACGGUUCUAAUAGUAAUUGUGUUGGUAAUGUAUUAAUAACGGUUCUAAUAGUAAUUGUGUUGGUAAUGUAUUAAUAAUGGUUCUAAUAGUAAUUGUGUUGGUAAUGUAUUAAUAACGGUUCUAAUAGUAAUUGUGUUGGUAAUGUAUUAAUAACGGUUCUACUAGUAAUUGUGUUGGUAAUGUAUUAAUAACGGUUCUAAUAGUAAUUGUGUUGGUAAUGUAUUAUUAACGGUUCUAACAGUAAUUGUGUUGGUAAUGUAUUAAUAACGGUUCUAAUAGUAAUUGUGUUGGUAAUGUAUUAAUAACGGUUCUAAUAGUAAUUGUGUUGGUAAUGUAUUAAUAACGGUUCUACCAGUAAUUGUGUUGGUAAUGUAUUAAUAACGGUUCUACUAGUAAUUGUGUUGGUAAUGUAUUAAUAACGGUUCUAAUAGUAAUUGUGUUGGUAAUGUAUUAAUAACGGUUCUAAUAGUAAUUGUGUUGGUAAUGUAUUAAUAACGGUUCUAAUAGUAAUUGUUUUGGUAAUGUAUUAAUAACGGUUCUAAUAGUAAUUGUGUUGGUAAUGUAUUAUUAACGGUUCUAAUAGUAAUUGUGUUGGUAAUGUAUUAAUAACGGUUCUAAUAGUAAUUGUGUUGGUAAUGUAUUAUUAACGGUUCUAAUAGUAAUUGUGUUGGUAAUGUAUUA
rnacentral:lncRNA from 1 species